rnacentral:lncRNA from 1 species
UCAUCAUUCAAUGAAAAAAAGCUUUCUUAAUGAAAGAUGAUUUGAUAGGGCAGAUACUUGAAAGCCAUCUACUCUGUAGCAGUGGUGAAUAUAAAAUCAAAAAGAAGCUAGAGAAUCAUUAUAACUGUGUGUGACCAAAUACACAAUAUAAAUAAGUGGUGAGUCAAGUUUAGAAUAGAUUAAAUACUCCGUUCUUUAAAUUGGUCUUGAAAGUGAUUUUAAACUCACCAGCUUGAAAUGUGUAUUUUCUGUUUCAUGUGAUUAUUCCUGAUCUUAUAUCCUCAAAUCUUCAAAUGAAGGAAAUGUUAAUAUGUGUAAGCUCUGAAAUACUAAGAGUCCUCAAUAGCAAGGUCUUUUCUGAUAGCUUUAUGUAUAGUGUUGGUUAUUGAUUCUGUUACUGAUUUAAAAAUAUGCAUUUGAGUCUUAAUUUUUUUUUCUUUUGUAUUUAAAGAUUUGGGGUUUUGGUUUGUUUGUUUUUUAACCAUAUUACUUUUCUGUUUUUAACUACUAUUAUUAAUUCCUUGCAAUUGUUCUUUCCCCAACUUUCUCCAUCUUUCAGGGGCAAUACUAGCCAGUUUUGUAUAUUCUGAUCUUUUCCUCCCAGACUUCAUUUGAACACUAUCUAAUAAAGUUGGUCAUAAUUAUGAAUAGGAAUGUAGGUAAAUAGAAGCACAUGUAAGUCACAUAUUAUUAUAUAGUGAAAAAAAUAUAAAGAUAUUUUAAAGGGCAGAGAGUGGCUUAUAAAUGUUCUUUAAACCUUCUUUGCUUUCCUCUGUAUUGACCAUGCUUGUGUUUAAUUUGUUUUUGCUUCAUGUGAGUAUUGAUUGGAGUUACUUGUCACUGUUACUCAGUUUGACAAAAAAAAAAAAAAAUCAACCUUACUUUUCAAAAGAUCUUCAUCAGUUGAUCAGUUAGUGAUCGUGUCUCUAAUCUGAUAUGAUGAUGAUAAAUCCUCUCUUCAUUUUCCUUAUUACAACAAAUUACUUAGUAUAAUAGUAUUAUCUCCAUUCAUCAUACAGGAUCAUUAUGAAGGCAAAUAAAAUAGUAUAUAUGAAAACAAUUUUUAAAACAAAAGCUUUAUACAAAAUACUGCCCAAUUUAAAUGAAUUAAAUCUUUUUUAAUUAAAAUAUUUGCAGAUAGAAGUGUGCACAUUAAAUCAUGUGUGCAUGCAGUUUUAAAGGAAUUUGUUUCCUAAAUCUACAUCUGAAGAAGAAAACAAGAACAUACAUAUGAUGCCAGGGGUAAAAUAACAUUUUUGGUGAAUCAGUGGCAGUUUUGUUUGAGGCAAAAUCAUAUUCUAAAAUACAGGAGCACAUAUUUUGCAUUGAUUUCAUUAAGGGUCAGUAGCAACUAUCUUGAUGUAACUUGGUUCAGAUGUGAAGAUAACAUUGACUCUGGGAGAAGAGAGUUAAGGAAAAUCCUCUUUUUUUUUUCCCCCUAUGAGUCUUCAAUGGAGCAAGAGUUUAGGCUUCUAUAAAACCCAUUUAGACUUUCCCUAUUUCAAAAUAGGACAAUAUCCUUUGUGAACAAAGUCAAGAAUUAGCCCCCCCCCCCGCCCCCCCUCCCCCAAAAAAGUGAUUUUGCUAAUUCUUGACUUGGGUCACAAAGGAGAAAGAGCUCCACGGUGCAUGAAUUUUUAGAAGAUCUGUCUUAUCAGAGUGUGUGUUGAUUGCUGGUAGAGCAAUAUUGGUAUUUUUGUGUUGUAAUAAUACUUACAGGAUUUUAUAAGAAGAUUUCAUUUUCUUUAAGUCUUCCUCUGCAGAAUUUUCAGAUGGAAAGCUACUUUAGUAUUUGUAGAAAUUGGCCCUGAAAUUAAUUCUUACAGUAAAUUUCAUUUUAGAGGAUCCCAAAACCUUGAGAAUGCUGUGUGGUGUGGUACUGAUUCUAGCCUAACUUUCAACAUAAAGCAAUAAAUAGAACCUUAUGACCCUAUGGGCAAAUUCCUAAAUUCACUUUAUUAAUAAUAUGCAAUGUUGAAGUAUUUCUACUCAUUACAAUUAGCCUUUUCUUCAUCAGCUAAUUUACUUAAUGUUUACUUAAUGCUAAAAUUAUAGGCUCUUGGGAUUUGUAGAAGGAAAGUAAAAAAUGAUUGUUAGAUCUUUUGCUCCAGAGAAAGCUGAGCUCAGACAGAUAUGAACUCCACAGCUGGUUAGGGGAUGCUGCUUAGCCUCUCAACAUAGUAAUCCUUUUAUCACACUCCAAACUUUGUUAACCUUGGUAGGGGGUUACUUUUAAGAAGAAUCAACUUUUUAGGUAUGGUGGCAUACACCUGUAAUCCCAACAGCUCAGGAGCCUGAGGCUGGAGAAUCACAAGUUCAGAUCCAGCCUCAGCAACUUAGUGAAGACCUAUCUCUAAAUCAAAUAAAACAGAGCUGGGAAUGUGGCUCAGUUGUUAAGCACCCCUGGUUCAAUCUCUGGUACCAAAGGGUGGGGGUUGGGGGAGAAGAAGAAAGAUAAUUUGAGGAAUAAAAGGAAGAGGCUUGGAUUUGUUAAUAUGAAAGAACAUUAUUAAGAGGUAUUAGAGCAAUGUGUGACUGGUGCCUGUGUAGGUCAUACUGGUGCCUAUGCUAGGUCAGCAUAACUCUGAUGAGAACAGAGAGCCCGGAAACACGUCUGUGCAUAUGUUAAAAAUCCCAUAAUGUGGGAUUUUUAACAGAUUGUGGGGAGUUUUCUUUAGAGUGAAAAUAUAAUACGUACUACUCUACACCCUUUCCAAAAUACAAAUUACAAGUAUAAAAGAUCUAAAUAUGAAAAACAAAACAUUUAAAUGAGAAUCUAUAAAUUAUCUUUGUGAUUUUUGCAGAACAGAGAAUUUCUUUAAAAUCAGACAUGAAAACACAACAUUUACAGUAAAUAGGAUUGCAUCACACCUAAAACUUCUGUAGAACAAUAGGCACUUAAGUAAAAAGACAAGCUGCUGACUGGAGAAAAUGUUUGCAGUACACAUAACUGACAAGGUCAGUAUCUUGAAUACACUGGAAAAACCUAAGAACCUCCUGCAAAUCAGUGAGAAAUGACAGUUGUGUGUUAGAAUAGCAGUGCUCACCCAUUUUGGUCCUGAACCCCUUUACAAAUUUAUGUAUUUGUCUAUUAUUUAAUUAUUUAAAUAAUUAAAGAGACACUAGAUUGGGUUCAAGGAACUUGUCCUCCUGCUUCGGCCUUUUGAGUAGCUAGGAUUACAGAUGUCCAUUACAACCUCCCAGUCCCUUUAUACUUUAAAAAAUUGAUAACCCAGAGUUUUUGUGUAUGUGGAUCAUACGUGUUAGAAUUAAAAUUGAGAAAAUUUUUUAAAAGUAAAAAAAAAUACAUGCUAAAUAUAAAGUUUAGUGAGAAGAAUACCAUUGUUUUACAUUUUAUAAAUCUUUUUAAUGUUUAACUUAAGAGGGCUGGACUCUCCUACCUGCAGAGCAAUCAAUCCGUUUCUAUAUGUUUUAGUUAAAUACAUGAAGAUAAUAUAGCCUUACAUAGCUAUGUAAUUGGAAAAGGAGGGGCUUUUGCAGACCCUUGCCAAAUGUGUCUCAGAGCCCUUGGAUCACACUUGGAACUGCUGCAUUAGAGAAAUGGGUAUACUAUACAAAUGGAAAAAAAGCUUAAAUAGUUAAAAACCAUGAAAAGAGUAUCAUUAUCAUAAUAAUCAGGGAAAUGUGACUUUAUUGUUUCAUGCUUUCAGAUUGCUAAGAUUCUCACAAGAUCAAGUGUUGGUGAGAAUUUGGAAAUGGAAACAUUCACUUCAUUUGGAGUGAAAUUUGUUCAAUUUGAUGAUGUCUGAGAAAGUUGAUGAUGUACACGCCCUAUAACCCAGCAAUUCUCAGUAUGUACUAGAACCCCACUUUGUAAAAAAUUCUCAACACCACAUAAAAA